AGUGAACGCUGGCGGUAGGCCUAACGCAUGCAAGUCGAACGGCAGCACAGUAAGAGCUUGCUCUUACGGGUGGCGAGUGGCGGACGGGUGAGGAAUACAUCGGAAUCUACUUUUUCGUGGGGGAUAACGUAGGGAAACUUACGCUAAUACCGCAUACGACCUACGGGUGAAAGCAGGGGAUCUUCGGACCUUGCGCGAUUGAAUGAGCCGAUGUCGGAUUAGCUAGUUGGCGGGGUAAAGGCCCACCAAGGCGACGAUCCGUAGCUGGUCUGAGAGGAUGAUCAGCCACACUGGAACUGAGACACGGUCCAGACUCCUACGGGAGGCGGCAGUGGGGAAUAUGGGACAAUGGUCGCAAGCCUGAUCCAACCAUACCGCGUGGGUGAAGAAGGCCUUCAGGUUGGAAAGCCCUUUUGUUGGGAAAGAAAAGCAGCAGGUUAAUACCCCGCUGUUCUGACGGUACCCAAAUAAUAAGCACCGGCUAACUUCGUG
rnacentral:rRNA from 1 species